rnacentral:rRNA from 1 species
CGAAAGCCUGACGGAGCAACGCCGCGUGAGGGAUGAAGGCCUCUGGGCUGUAAACCUCUUUUAUCAAGGAAGAAGAUCUGACGGUACUUGAUGAAUAAGCCACGGCUAAUUCCGUGCCAGCAGCCGCGGUAAUACGGGAGUGGCAAGCGUUAUCCGGAAUUAUUGGGCGUAAAGCGUCCGCAGGCGGCCCUUCAAGUCUGCUGUUAAAAAGUGGAGCUUAACUCCAUCAUGGCAGUGGAAACUGAGGGGCUUGAGUGUGGUAGGGGCAGAGGGAAUUCCCGGUGUAGCGGUGAAAUGCGUAGAUAUCGGGAAGAACACCAGUGGCGAAGGCGCUCUGCUGGGCCAUCACUGACGCUCAUGGACGAAAGCCAGGGGGGCGAAAG